rnacentral:rRNA from 1 species
GACGAACGCUGGCGGCGUGCUUAACACAUGCAAGUCGAACGGAAAGGCCCUGCUUUUGUGGGGUGCUCGAGUGGCGAACGGGUGAGUAACACGUGAGUAACCUGCCCUUGACUUUGGGAUAACUUCAGGAAACUGGGGCUAAUACCUGAUAGGAGCUCCUGCUGCAUGGUGGGGGUUGGAAAGUUUCGGCGGUUGGGGAUGGACUCGCGGCUUAUCAGCUUGUUGGUGGAGUAGUGGCUUACCAAGGCUUUGACGGGUAGCCGGCCUGAGAGGGUGAGCGGCUAAGUCGGGAAUGAGAUGCGGCACAUGGUGGUGCGGGGUGGAGCAGGGGGGACGAUUAGAUGAUGGGUGGGAGCGUGAAGCAGCAACGUCGCGUGCGGGAGAGCGACAUGCGAGUUGGAUGCCUCAUUAACCUCUGCUGAACAGAGAGUAAAGGAAAUGGGUUGAGACACAGAGGCUAGCCAAGUG